rnacentral:rRNA from 1 species
AUUGAACGCUGGCGGCAUGCCUUACACAUGCAAGUCGAACGGUAACGGGCCUUCGGGUGCCGACGAGUGGCGAACGGGUGAGUAAUGUAUCGGAACGUACCUUUCAGUGGGGGAUAACGUAGCGAAAGUUACGCUAAUACCGCCUAUUCUGUGAUCAGGAAAGCAGGGGAUCGCAAGACCUUGCGCUGAUUGAGCGGCCGAUAUCAGAUUAGACAGUGGGUGAGGUAAAGGCUCACAAAGGCGACGAUCUGUAGCGGGUCUGAGAGGAUGAUCCGCCACACUGGAACUGAGACACGGUCCAGACUCCUACGGGAGGCAGCAGUGGGGAAUUUUGGACAAUGGGGGCAACCCUGAUCCAGCCAUGCCGCGUGAGUGAAGAAGGCCUUCGGGUUGUAAAGCUCUUUCGGCCGGGAAGAAAUCGUAUCAGCUAAUACCUGGUGCGGAUGACGGUACCGGCAUAAGAAGCACCGGCUAACUACGUGCCAGCCGCCGCCGUAAAAC